UGAGGAUAUAGCUCAAUGGUAGAGCACUUGCCUAGCAUGCAUGAGGCCCUGAGUUCAAAUCCCAGUACCUCAA